rnacentral:lncRNA from 1 species
CCACUGAAAGAGGGGAAGGAAUGCUCAGGGCCUUGGAGGUCUCCUGGGGGUCUGGCCGGGGCAAUGGGGUGCUUAUGUAUCAUCACUAGGAACAGAAACCCACGAUGAAUCAGCUUGGAGAUGACAAGUGUGGUUUUGAACACAUGGAAACUGAGAGGUCUUAGGACAUCCCAGUGAAAGCAUCUGGUAGGCUGUUCUGUGUAUGGCUCUGAUGCUCAGGAGGGAACUGAAACUGAAGACAGCCCUGUCAGUCAUCAGAGGUCAAAAAUCGGCAGCCCAUAGGCCAGCUUCAGGUCACAGAUGGAGGUUUAGACUGGCUCACACCAUUGAUCUCCCGAAGUGCUGGGAUUACAAGCACUGCGCCUGGCCUCAUCCUACCCACCUCUUCUUUUUUUAAAAUUUAAGUUUUUCCAUUUGCUGUACUUCAUGCCAAGUAUACACUCCCCUCCUGCCUGUUCCCAAGCCAGGGACCAAGGACUACAGGCCGGUACAGGAUUUGCGCUUGGUUAAUCAAGCUACAGUGACUUUACAUCCAACAGUACCUAACCCGUACACGUUGUUGGGAUUGCUGCCAGCUGAGGACAGCUGGUUCACCUGCUUGGACCUGAAAGACGCUUUCUUUCGUAUCAGAUUAGCUCCCGAGAGCCAGAAGCUGUUUGCCUUUCAGUGGGAAGAUCCGGAGUCAGGUAUCACUACUCAGUACACUUGGACCCGGCUUCCCCAAGGGUUCCAGAGCUCCCCCACCAUCUUCAGGGAGGCGUUGGCUACAGACCUCCAGAAGCUUCCCACCAGAGACCUAGGCUGCGUGUUGCUCCAGUACGUUGAUGACCUUUUGCUGAGACACCCCACGGCAGUCAGGUGCGCCAAGGGAACGGAUGCCCUACUCCAGCGCCUGGAGGACUGUGGGUAUAAGGUGUCCAAGAAAAAAGCUGAGAUCUGUCGACAGCAGUGCAUGGAGCAUUAUAGAAAGAAAACGGCCUAUGGAACUCUGGGGGAAAAGACAUAAAAUAUCAACAAGAAAUCUUGCAAUUAUUAGAAGCAGUAUGGAAACCCCACAAGGUGGCAGGUAUGCAUUGCAGAGGACAUCAGCGAGCUUCCACCUUGCUGGGUUUGGGGAAUUCCCGCGCUGACUCAGAGGCUCGAAAAGCAGCAUCUGCCCCCUUCCGGCAAUCAGUCACAGCCACUCUGCUCCCUCAAGCACCUGAUCUUGUACCUACUUAUUCUAAAGAAGAAAAGGACUUUCUCCAGGUAGAGGGAAGGACAAGUGAUGGAGGAAGGAUGGAUUCGGUUACCAGAUGGGAGAGUAGCUGUGCCACAGCUGCUAGGAGCUGCAGUUGUACUGGCUGUGCAUGAAACCACCCAUCUAGGUCAGAGUCACUGGAAAAGUUGUUAGGCUGGUAUUUCUACAUCUCGCAUUUGUCAGCCCUUGCCAAAACGGUGACACAGCGGUGUGUUACCUGCUGACAGCACAAUGCGAGGCAAGGUCCAGCCGUUCCGCCCGGCAUAAAAGCUUAUGGAGCAGCCCCCUUUGAAGAUCUCCAGGUAGACUUCACAGAGAUGCCAAAGUGUGGAGGUCAGAAGUAUUUACUAGUUCUUGGGUGUACCUGCUCUGGGUGGGUGGAGGCUUAUCCAACACGAACUAAGAAAGCUCGUGAAGUAACCCGUGUGUUUCUUCGAGAUCUGAUUCCUAGAUUUGGACUGCCCUUACGGAUCAGCUCAGAUAACGGGCCUGCGUUUGUGGCUGACUUGGUACAGAAGACGGCGAAGGUAUCGGGCAUCACAUGGAAACGGCAUGCCGCGUACCAGCCUCAGAGUUCCGGAAAGGUGGAGCGGAUGAAUCGGACUAUCAAAAAUAGUAUUAUUAUCUUUCCCACUGGAUAUUAAAAACAAUACCACAAGGGGCAUCAAACCACCUGCCAAAUUUGAGGGAAUGUUAUUCUGUCCUCCCCCCGCCCCCGGAUAUUAGAGACAAUAACAUAGGGGCUGUAGAUAAAGGGGUUGAGCAUGGAGGUGACCACCGUGUACAUCACUGCAGCCACUGCACCCUUUCUGGGGGAAGAUGACACAUCU